GGUGGCUCAGUGGUAGAGAGCUUGCCUUGCAUGCAUGAGGCCCUAGGUUCGAUUCCUCGCACCA
rnacentral:tRNA from 1 species